GGCGGCGUGCUUAACACAUGCAAGUCGAACGGUGAUAGAGGAGCUUGCUCCUCUGGAUCAGUGGCGAACGGGUGAGUAACACGUGAGUAACCUGCCCUUGACUCUGGGAUAACCUCGGGAAACCGAAGCUAAUACCGGAUACGACCCUCGGAGGCAUCUCCAGGGGGUGGAAAGAAUUUCGGUCAAGGAUGGACUCGCGGCCUAUCAGGUAGUUGGUGAGGUAACGGCUCACCAAGCCGACGACGGGUAGCCGGCCUGAGAGGGUGACCGGCCACACUGGGACUGAGACACGGCCCAGACUCCUACGGGAGGCAGCAGUGGGGAAUAUUGCACAAUGGGCGCAAGCCUGAUGCAGCAACGCCGCGUGAGGGACGACGGCCUUCGGGUUGUAAACCUCUUUUAGUAGGGAAGAAGCGAAAGUGACGGUACCUGCAGAAAAAGCACCGGCUAACUACGUGCCAGCAGCCGCGGUAAUACGUAGGGUGCAAGCGUUGUCCGGAAUUAUUGGGCGUAAA
rnacentral:rRNA from 1 species